rnacentral:rRNA from 1 species
GUGGGGAAUUUUGGACAAUGGGCGCAAGCCUGAUCCAGCAAUGCCGCGUGCAGGAAGAAGGCCUUCGGGUUGUAAACUGCUUUUGUACGGAACGAAACGGUCCUGGUUAAUACCUGGGGCUAAUGACGGUACCGUAAGAAUAAGCACCGGCUAACUACGUGCCAGCAGCCGCGGUAAUACGUAGGGUGCGAGCGUUAAUCGGAAUUACUGGGCGUAAAGGGAACGCAGGCGGUUUUGUAAGACAGAGGUGAAAUCCCCGGGCUCAACCUGGGAGCUGCCUUUGUGACUGCAAGGCUGGAGUGCGGCAGAGGGGGAUGGAAUUCCGCGUGUAGCAGUGAAAUGCGUAGAUAUGCGGAGGAACACCGAUGGCGAAGGCAAUCCCCUGGGCCUGCACUGACGCUCAUGCACGAAAGCGUGGGGAGCAAACAGGAUUAGAUACCCUUGUAGUCC